GGUAACCUGCCUCAUACAGGGGGAUAACAGUUAGAAAUGACUGCUAAUACCGCAUAAGCGCACAGGGCUGCAUGGCCCGGUGUGAAAAACUCCGGUGGUAUGAGAUGGACCCGCGUCUGAUUAGCUGGUUGGAGGGGUAACGGCCCACCAAGGCGACGAUCAGUAGCCGGCCUGAGAGGGUGAACGGCCACAUUGGGGCUGAGACACGGCCCAGACUCCUACGGGAGGCAGCAGUGGGGAAUAUUGCACAAUGGGGGAAACCCUGAUGCAGCGACGCCGCGUGAAGGAAGAAGUAUCUCGGUAUGUAAACUUCUAUCAGCAGGGAAGAAAAUGACGGUACCUGACUAAGAAGCCCCGGCUAACUACGUGCCAGCAGCCGCGGUAAUACGUAGGGGGCAAGCGUUAUCCGGAUUUACUGGGUGUAAAGGGAGCGUAGACGGAAGAGCAAGUCUGAUGUGAAAGGCUGGGGCUUAACCCCAGGACUGCAUUGGAAACUGUUUUUCUAGAGUGCCGGAGAGGUAAGCGGAAUUCCUAGUGUAGCGGUGAAAUGCGUAGAUAUUAGGAGGAACACCAGUGGCGAAGGCGGCUUACUGGACGGUAACUGACGUUGAGGCUCGAAAGCGUGGGGAGCAAACAGGAUUAGAUACCCUGGUAGUCCACGCCGUAAAC
rnacentral:rRNA from 1 species